CAAAGGAAGCACAACAAAAUGGCGGAUAUGUAAUGGGAAAGACUACACAACGCCAAACAGGCAAACACUGUCAACAAAGGCACAAAGCCAUUGAAUAUAUGGAAGAAUGGAGAGGUAUAAAAGAGGAGGAAAUGCAGAGGUUAAACGCCCCAUCAGCAACAACCGGAACAUCAAAUGGAAACCCCCACCACAACAAUGCAUCAAGUGCAAUACAUAUGGCGCUUGGAGUAAAGAUAGACAGAGAAGCGGAGUAAGUUGGGUGAAUCGAGACCAUAUGGGAAGGUUGCUAUGGGCGGGAGCCAAGAGCUUUCAGAGACUAGGAUCAACCAAUAUAUAUAUAUAGAAACGGAGGCAGUAGCACUCAAUUGGGCAGUUCAAACGAUGCGAAGUCUAGGGUACAAGCAGGUUGGGAGGCAGAGUCCUCGAAUGGCAUCCACUGCACAAUCAAGAAAAACUUGAGAAAUAUUGCGAGGAAAAUGUUUCAGAUUCAGAAUCAGAAGUAGAUGCUACUUUAAUUACUUGAGCUGCUUCAAUCUCUAAGUCCUGCUUUUGGAUAUCAAAUAGAUGGCUACAAGGAUUAGAGGAUAUAAUAACUAAUAAGCAUCAAAAUAAUAAAGUAGCGGAUGUAAGUACCAGAAAGCUAGAACCUCCAAGAACUCUGUGUCGAU